GACGAACGCUGGCGGCGUGCUUAACACAUGCAAGUCUAGGGGGCCCGCAAGGGUCACCGGCGAACGGGUGCGUAACACGUGAGCGACCUACCCUGGAAUGGGGGAUAGCCGGCCCAACGGCCGGGUAAUACCGCAUACGCUCUUCGAGCUGCAUGGCUUGGAGAGGAAACCUUUUGGGUUCCUGGAGGGGCUCGCGGCCUAUCAGCUAGUUGGUGAGGUAAUGGCUCACCAAGGCGAUGACGGGUAGCUGGUCUGAGAGGAUGGCCAGCCACAUUGGGACUGAGAAACGGCCCAGAGUCCUACGGGAGGCAGCAGUGGGGAAUAUUGCGCAAUGGUCGAAAGACUGACGCAGCGACGCCGCGUGGAGGAUGACGCCCUUCGGGGUGUAAACUCCUGUUGCUCGGGACGAACCUCCCCAUUCGUGGGGACUGACGGUACCGGGUGAGGAAGCACCGGCUAACUCUGUGCCAGCCGCCGCGGUAAAAC
rnacentral:rRNA from 1 species